GACGAACGCUGACGGCGUGCUUAACACAUGCAAGUCGAACGGUAAGGCCCUUCGGGGUACACGAGUGGCGAACGGGUGAGUAACACGUGGGUGAUCUGCCCUGCACUUCGGGAUAAGCCUGGGAAACUGGGUCUAAUACCGGAUAGGACCACUGCCUGCAUGGGUGGUGGUGGAAAGCUUUUGCGGUGUGGGAUGGGCCCGCGGCCUAUCAGCUUGUUGGUGGGGUGAUGGCCUACCAAGGCGACGACGGGUAGCCGGCCUGAGAGGGUGACCGGCCACACUGGGACUGAGAUACGGCCCAGACUCCUACGGGAGGCAGCAGUGGGGAAUAUUGCACAAUGGGCGCAAGCCUGAUGCAGCGACGCCGCGUGAGGGAUGACGGCCUUCGGGUUGUAAACCUCUUUCAGCACCGACGAAGCGCAAGUGACGGUAGGUGCAGAAGAAGGACCGGCCAACUACGUGCCAGCCGCCGCAGUAACAC
rnacentral:rRNA from 1 species